rnacentral:rRNA from 1 species
GACGAACGCUGGCGGCGUGCUUAACACAUGCAAGUCGAACGGAAAGGCCCUGCUUUUGCGGGGUGCUCGAGUGGCGAACGGGUGAGUAACACGUGAGUAACCUGCCCUUGACUUUGGGAUAACUUCAGGAAACUGGGGCUAAUACCGGAUAGGAGCUCCUGCUGCAUGGUGGGGGUUGGAAAGUUUCGGCGGUUGGGGAUGGACUCGCGGCUUAUCAGCUUGUUGGUGGGGUAGUGGCUUACCAAGGCUUUGACGGGUAGCCGGCCUGAGAGGGUGACCGGCCACAUUGGGACUGAGAUACGGCCCAGACUCCUACGGGAGGCAGCAGUGGGGAAUAUUGCACAAUGGGCGGAAGCCUGAUGCAGCAACGCCGCGUGCGGGAUGACGGCCUUCGGGUUGUAAACCGCUUUCGCCUGUGACGAAGCGUGAGUGACGGUAAUGGGUAAAGAAGCACCGGCUAACUACGUGCCAGCAGCCGCGGUGAUACGUAGGGUGCGAGCGUUGUCCGGAUUUAUUGGGCGUAAAGGGCUCGUAGGUGGUUGAUCGCGUCGGAAGUGUAAUCUUGGGGCUUAACCCUGAGCGUGCUUUCGAUACGGGUUGACUUGAGGAAGGUAGGGGAGAAUGGAAUUCCUGGUGGAGCGGUGGAAUGCGCAGAUAUCAGGAGGAACACCAGUGGCGAAGGCGGUUCUCUGGGCCUUUCCUGACGCUGAGGAGCGAAAGCGUGGGGAGCGAACAGGCUUAGAUACCCUGAUAGUCCACGCUGUAAACGGUGGGUACUAGGUGUGGGGUCCAUUCCACGGGUUCCGUGCCGUAGCUAACGCUUUAAGUACCCCGCCUGGGGAGUACGGCCGCAAGGCUAAAACUCAAAGGAAUUGACGGGGCCCCGCACAAGCGGCGGAGCAUGCGGAUUAAUUCGAUGCAACGCGUAGAACCUUACCUGGGUUUGACAUGGAUCGGGAGUGCUCAGAGAUGGGUGUGCCUCUUUUGGGGUCGGUUCACAGGUGGUGCAUGGCUGUCGUCAGCUCGUGUCGUGAGAUGUUGGGUUAAGUCCCGCAACGAGCGCAACCCUUGUUCACUGUUGCCAGCACGUUAUGGUGGGGACUCAGUGGAGACCGCCGGGGUCAACUCGGAGGAAGGUGGGGAUGACGUCAAGUCAUCAUGCCCCUUAUGUCCAGGGCUUCACGCAUGCUACAAUGGCUGGUACAGAGAGUGGCGAGCCUGCGAGGGUGAGCGAAUCUCGGAAAGCCGGUCUCAGUUCGGAUUGGGGUCUGCAACUCGACCUCAUGAAGUCGGAGUCGCUAGUAAUCGCAGAUCAGCAACGCUGCGGUGAAUACGUUCCCGGG